UACGAAGGGGGCUAGCGUUGUUCGGAAUCACUGGGCGUAAAGGGCGCGUAGGCGGCCGUUCAAGUCGGGGUGAAAGCCCGGAGCUCAACUCCGGAACUGCCAUUGAAACUGUUUGGCUCGAGUACGAGAGAGGUGAGUGGAAUUCCCAGUGUAGAGGUGAAAUUCGUAGAUAUUGGGAAGAACACCGGUGGCGAAGGCGGCUCACUGGCUCGUAACUGACGCUCAUGCACGACAGCGUGGGGAUCAAACAGG
rnacentral:rRNA from 1 species